rnacentral:rRNA from 1 species
AUUGAACGCUGGCGGCAGGCCUAACACAUGCAAGUCGAACGGUAACAGGAAGCAGCUUGCUGCUUYGCUGACGAGUGGCGGACGGGUGAGUAAUGUCUGGGAAACUGCCUGAUGGAGGGGGAUAACUACUGGAAACGGUGGCUAAUACCGCAUAACGUCGCAAGACCAAAGAGGGGGACCUUCGGGCCUCUUGCCAUCAGAUGUGCCCAGAUGGGAUUAGCUWGUUGGUGAGGUAACGGCUCACCAAGGCGACGAUCCCUAGCUGGUCUGAGAGGAUGACCAGCCACACUGGAACUGAGACACGGUCCAGACUCCUACGGGAGGCAGCAGUGGGGAAUAUUGCACAAUGGGCGCAAGCCUGAUGCAGCCAUGCCGCGUGUAUGAAGAAGGCCUUCGGGUUGUAAAGUACUUUCAGCGGGGAGGAAGGUGUUGUGGUUAAUAACCGCAGCAAUUGACGUUACCCGCAGAAGAAGCACCGGCUAACUCCGU